rnacentral:rRNA from 1 species
GUCUCUUUGUUGGUUUUUUAUAAAGAGUCUGACCUGCCCGGUGAUAAUAUUUAACGGCCGCGGUACUUUGACCGUGCAAAGGUAGCAUAAUCAUUUGCCUUAUAAUUGAAGGCUUGUAUGAAUGGUUUCACAAGAAUUGAUCUGUCUCCUGUAAAUUAAAAUGAAAUUGACUUUUAGGUGUAAAGGCCUAAAUGUUACUAAUAGACAAGAAGACCCUAUUGAGCUUAAAAAGUUUAUGUGACGUAGAUUAUAUUUAAAGUAAAAUUAUGAGUUAUUAAAAUUUUUUAGUUGGGGCGACUAUGGAACAAAUAAAACUUCCAAAAUUUUAUAAUAUUCGGUAUUAGUUUGUUUGAAUUAGAUCCAAAAUGUUUUGAUUAAUAGAAUAAGUUACCAUAGGGAUAACAGCAUAAUCUAUCUUAAGAGUUCUAAUCGAAAGAAAGGUUUGUGACCUCGAUGUUGGAUUAAAAUAUCCUAAAGGUGUAGAAGCUUUUGAGGGUUAGUCUGUUCGACUAUUAAAAUUUUACAUGAUCUGAGUUCAGACCGGCGUAAGCCAGGUCAGUUUCUAUCUUUAGUUAAUAGAAUCAGAGUCUAGUACGAAAGGACCGAGUCAAGUGGGCGAUUAGUUGUAGCCUUAUUUAAAUGAUAAUAUAUAAUUAAUGUUUUAGUUUUAUAU